UACGAAGGGGGCUAGCGUUGCUCGGAAUCACUGGGCGUAAAGCGCACGUAGGCGGCUUUGUAAGUUAGAGGUGAAAGCCCGGGGCUCAACUCCGGAAUUGCCUUUAAGACUGCAUCGCUAGAAUUGUGGAGAGGUGAGUGGAAUUCCGAGUGUAGAGGUGAAAUUCGUAGAUAUUCGGAAGAACACCAGUGGCGAAGGCGACUCACUGGACACAUAUUGACGCUGAGGUGCGAAAGCGUGGGGAGCAAACAGG
rnacentral:rRNA from 1 species